GACGGAGGGUGCUAGCGUUGUUCGGAAUGACUGGGCGUAAAGGGCGCGUAGGCGGCUCGUGAAGUCGGGUGUGAAAGCCCGGGGCUCAACCCCGGAACGGCAUCCGAUACUGGCGGGCUUGAGACCGGGAGAGGAGGGUGGAAUACCCAGUGUAGAGGUGAAAUUCGUAGAUAUUGGGAAGAACACCGGUGGCGAAGGCGGCGCUCUGGACCGAGACUGACGCUGAGGCGCGAAAGCGUGGGGAGCAGACAGG
rnacentral:rRNA from 1 species